GCGAACGGGUGAGUAACACGUGGGCAACCUGCCCAAAAGAGGGGGGAUAACACUUGGAAACAGGUGCUAAUACCGCAUAACCAUAGUUACCGCAUGGCUACUAUGUAAAAGGUGGCUAUGCUACCGCUUUUGGAUGGGCCCGCGGCGCAUUAGCUAGUUGGUGGGGUAAAGGCUUACCAAGGCAAUGAUGCGUAGCCGAACUGAGAGGUUGAUCGGCCACAUUGGGACUGAGACACGGCCCAAACUCCUACGGGAGGCAGCAGUAGGGAAUCUUCCACAAUGGGCGAAAGCCUGAUGGAGCAACGCCGCGUGGGUGAAGAAGGUCUUCGGAUCGUAAAACCCUGUUGUUAGAGAAGGAAGUGCGUGAGAGUAACUGUUCACGUUUCGACGGUAUCUAACCAGAAAGCCACGGCUAACUACGUGCCAGCAGCCGCGGUAAUACGUAGGUGGCAAGCGUUAUCCGGAUUUAUUGGGCGUAAAGGGAACGCAGGCGGUCUUUUAAGUCUGAUGUGAAAGCCUUCGGCUUAACCGGAGUAGUGCAUUGGAAACUGGGAGACUUGAGUGCAGAAGAGGAGAGUGGAACUCCAUGUGUAGCGGUGAAAUGCGUAGAUAUAUGGAAGAACACCAGUGGCGAAAGCGGCUCUCUGGUCUGUAACUGACGCUGAGGUUCGAAAGCGUGGGUAGCAAACAGGAUUAGAUACCCUGGUAGUCCACGCCGUAAACGAUGAAUGCUAAGUGUUGGAGGGUUUCCGCCCUUCAGUGCUGCAGCUAACGCAAUAAGCCAUUCCGCCUGGGGAGUACGACCGCAAGGUUGCAACUCAAAGGAAUUGACGGA
rnacentral:rRNA from 1 species